rnacentral:rRNA from 1 species
AGCAGCCGCGGUAAUUCCAGCUCCAAUAGCGUAUAUUAAAGUUGUUGCAGUUAAAAAGCUCGUAGUUGAAUUUCGGGGUCAGUAGAUUGGUCAUGCCACUGGUAUGUACUGGUCUUACUGAUUCCUCCUUCCUGAUGAGCCGUAAUGCCAUUAAUUUGGUGUUGCGAGGAAUCUGGACUGUUACUUUGAAAAAUUAGAGUGUUUAAAGCAGGCUAACGCUUGAAUACAUUAGCAUGGAAUAAUGAAAUAGGACGUUCGAUCUUAUUUUGUUGGUUUCUAAGAUUGACGUAAUGAUUAAUAGGGAUAGUUGGGGCAUUAGGUAUUCAAUUGUCAGAGGUGAAAUUCUUGGAUUUAUUUGAAG